GUGUCCCUGUGUGCACUCAGGAGGUCCUGAGCGGUGUUUAGACGUACCGGGAAAAUCUUAUCUAAUUCAGGAUCAAUUCAUCGGUUACACUCCCCUAUCACCAGUGAUUCUUUUUUUUAGCUGAUAUUCUGAAAAUGUAUUGUGUAAGUGUUGACUCUCAUUUUGCACAUGUGAUUUUUUAACAGAUAUCGACUCGUUCACCGGACUACUGCAAAAAACAAUUAUUCAGCUCACUGAUUUAGAUGGAAGGUAAACGGACAGAAAGUCACAGGACAAAAAGUCACAGGACAUAUAAACUCAGACAUAAAGUCACAAAUUUGAUAGGACAAAAAGUCACAAACAAUUUAUUGACAAUUGUUUGAAUAUAUAUGAAAAAGAUUUUAAAAUAUUUUCUUUUUCUUUUUUGAUUUAUAAAUCAUUAUGGAUCUUAUAUAUUAGGAAAAGUUCAUUUUUUCUUUUUAUAUAUAUAUAUAUUCAUUUUUAAUUUAAGGAAAUUGCUGAUACAUGUGAUAUACAUGAUAUAGAAAAGAUUGGUAUGAUUGCCAAUGAGACAACUGUCCACAAGAGACCAAAAUGACACAGACAUUAACAACUAUAGGUCUUUACGGCCUUCAACAAUGAGCAAAGCCCAUACCGCAUAGUCAGCUAUAAAAGGCCUUGAUAUGACAAUGUAAAACAAUUCAAACGAGAAAACUAACGGCCUUAUUUAUAUAAAAAUAUGAACAAAACACAAAUAAAACACAUAAACAAACGACAACCACUGAAUUACAGGCUCCUGACCAUAAACCUUGAUAAAUGAAAAUGUAUUAGAUUUUAAUCGUGCAAAGAAUAUAUUUAUUGGCAAAUUGAAGUCAUAUGACAUGUUUGAAAACCAAGCCACUUUGACAUUUGACAUUUUGCAUGUUUUGUUUUCAUAACAAUUAUUUGAUCAGAUCAUUAUUGAUAUUUAUUAGGGCGCACCACAUUUGCGCGCAUUUAGGGAUUAAAAUGUUUUACGUUUGUGCAAACCUAAUGCAUCGAUUUAUUUAUUUUAAUAAAUUUUAACUACUAAGUUGCUUCAUCAUGUUCAUGUAUAAAACUUCAAGAAAAAUACAAAAAAAAGUGUUUUCUUGUUCAAAGAAAAAUAAUCUCGAAACUGAAUUGUGACUUUUUGUCCUGUGACAGUGUGUGACUUUUUGACCGUGACUUUUUGUCCUGUGACUUUCUGUCCUACAUUCAGAUUGAAUAGGGGAGUUUGGUUGGUCUCCCUCUAUCUGAGACUACUAUCUCAGUCAUUCAGUGAUGAACUUUAUGCUUCAUGUAUUGUGCUUGUCAUAUAUGUAUGUCGGAUAAAAGCUUAUGUUGUAUAACCAACUUUAAAUAAAUCUUUUUUGCCAGCCCCUAACAAGUAAGAAUUAAGUUACUUCUUUUUGUAAUACAAACAAUUAUGACAUCUUGUAAGGCUUUUUAUAUCCCCACUUUAAAAUUUUACCCCUGCUUUAAAAAAGGGGGGUAUACUGUUUAACCUCUGUCUGUCCAUCCAUCCUUCUGUCAGUCCGUCCGUCCCAUGAAUAUUUUUCGUCGCAUUUUUCUCAGGAACUACAAUACAAGAAUUUCUGAAAUUUGGUUUCAGGGUUUACAUAAGUCAGCUAUACCGUGUGAUGCGUUUUCAGAUUCUUCACUUGACAACUUCCCUUUUACCGAACACUUACAAGUAUGAUUUUACACAUGAUAGGCAAGUUGAAAAUUUUUGUCAAAUUUUUCUCAGGAACUACAAUACAAAGAUUUCUGAAAUUUGGUUUCAGGGUUUAUAUAAGUCAGCUAUACUGUAUACUGUGUGAUGUGUUUUCAGAGUCAUCACUCGACAACUUCCUGUUUACUGAACACUUACAUAUUUUUACACUAUUAAUAUUAUCCACUUGCGACGGGGUUAUCAUCAGUGAGCAGUAGCUCGCAGUUUCACUUGUUUUUUACUAUGACAACGUCACAGAAAAAAGUUGAAAUAGCCAUGCAAGACGUCAUUAUUAUUUUGGACUAAUAUUAUGGCACAUAUUGUUGUACCACAGGGAUUUAUGUCAAUUUAUCUGGUUUUCUAUCCGCACGAAACCCCAAAAUACUAGUGAUAAAGUGUUAACUUACUUCUUAAUUAAAGCCUAGUAUCAUGAAUAUUUAGAAGGCAGAAGACCUGGACCAUUCAUACUUUGCAUAUACAUGCCUUAUGUUAUGAAGUUUUCGUCUGUCAUAUGUUCAUUGACCUUGAGUGACCUCAUUUCAUGGCUAAGUGACUGUGCACAUUGAAAAAAAGUUAAGGUUUUUCAGAAUCCUUAUUUCUAUUAUGAUUAUUAUGAGUAAUAGGAUUAUAAGAGAAAUCAAGAAUACUAAAAAAUUUAAGGAUACCUUGCAAAGUCUUCAUGUUCGCCAGACAGUUUUCACUUGGUUUGACCUUAUUUCAUGGAUCAGUGAACAAGUUAAGCUUUUGUGGUCACAACCAUAUCUCAGAUACCAUAAACAAUGUGUCUACUUUAUUUACUUUAUUUACUUUUAAUUAUUGUAUGGAAUGAUUGUAAGGUAUGCAUGUCCAACUGGCAAGUUUCAUCUGACCUUGACCUCGUUUUCAUGGUUCAGUGGUUAUUGUUAAUUUUUUGUGUUUUGGUCAGGUUUUCUAAUAUUGUAUGCAACAUGUCAAGUAUAUUUGUUGUAUGAACAUUUUUAGGGAUGUACAUGUUAGUCUGGCAUGUUUUUACUUUUAUUCAAUUUUGACCUCAUUUUUAUGGUUCAUUGCUUAAUGUUACUUUUUUUUUGCCAGUUUUUCUACUUUCUUAUUUUCAAAUUAGCAAAAGGUCAACUAGGUGCAUAUGUCAUCUUACUUUAUUUUCAUAAUACAUUGGACAAUAUAAAAAAGAGACCAAAUGAAACAGAAAUUAACAACACAAGGUCACCAUACAGCCUUCAACAAUGAACAAAACCCAUACUGCAUAGUCAGCUAUAAAAGGUCCAGUAAUGACAAUUCAAACGAGAAAACUAACGACCUAAUUUAUGUGCAAAAAAUGGAAAAACAGAUAUGUUACACAUAAACAAACGACAAUCACUGAAUUAUAGGAUCCUGACUUGGAACAGGCACAUCCAUGACAAAUUGGCAGGGUAUAAGGAACUUUGAAAAUGUUUAUUUUUUGUGGUUUGGUCUAUUUUCCGGAUACUGUAAGCAAUAAGGCCCCUUUAUUUAGUGAAUGGAAUGAUUGUAAGAUGCACAUGUCUGUCUGCCAUAUUUUAUAUGACCUUGACCUCAUUUUAAAUGGUUCAUUGGUCAAUGAAACACUGCAUAGUUUUGUCAGUUUAUCAUAUGUUUAAAGUUACAGGUAGAUUAUAUUUGGUGGAUAUGUAACAAUUGUAAGGUGUGCAUGUCUGUCUGGCAGAUUUAUAUAACCAUGACCGCAUUUUAUGUUCUUUGGUUAAUGAUAAGUUUUCUUGGUUUUGUCAUUUUAUCAGAUAUUAUAACAUGCAUAAGCAUAGGUCUACUUGUUGUUGUACGGAAUGACUACAAGGUAUCAUAUAAAAAUAAGAAGAUGUUUGUCUGCCAAGGUUAAUUUUACUGUGACCUCAUUUUCAUAGAAUAAUGAUAAUAUUAAACAGCAAGAAUGAUGAGCAAGUCGAUGUUAUAUACAAAUGAGGCAAAAUUUUCAGUUGCCUACUAAUUAUGUAAUAGUAGUUAUUUUUGUUUUUAGUUUAUUAAAUGAUAAUGUUUACCCUUUUAUGUGUAGGGCAAGAACAUUAAAGAUAAAGGGAAACUUUAAACAGAAGAAAUUAUCAACAAACAUAGAUUUACAGAGGUCAACAAAGCCUAAAUGGUAUGUCCACUGUUAUAAAAGUUUUGGUCAUAAUAUGAUUAAAUAUUUAUUAAAAUAAGAUGUGGUAUGACAAUGUAUGAUGAAUGAUGAAUGAGAAAACUAUCCAACAGAAUUCAAUUUAGUGGAUGUAAGCAUUGUAAUUACUUAUUAGAGGCCAUUGAUGACCUGUAAGUAAUGAGAAAACCCAUACCCUAUACAUGUGAUAGUAAUCUAUAAAAGACAACACUAACAAAAUUUGAAACAAAGCAUCAAUUCAAACUUCAAAUAUACCAGACUAAUUUAUAAAAACAACAAAUUAUGAAAAACAAAAAUGACCGAUAUGAACCAACUUCAACCACUGAACUAUGUACAAGCUCCUGAUAUUGGACAGGUAUAAUAUGGCUGUGUUGAUAUAAAAAUAAGAAGCACUUAGCAGUCUGAUUUCCAAUGAGACUUUUCUCCAAUAGAGAUCAAAUGACAUUUAAGGAGGCUCUAGGGUAUACAAAUUUCAGAAAAAUAUUUAAAAUAUUUUUUUUUCAUAACUCAUUUUAUUUAUAACUUUAUUAGUUGUUACUUUAUCCAUGUUAUCAUAUGGUACACAAAUCAUUCAAAACAAUCAAUUCGUUUUGGCCCAAGAUGACUUUUAAAAUGUAUAUAUCAUUGAAAAAGCUCCAAAUUAUCUCCCUUUGGUGCAAAAUGCCAUUUUUUGGCAUUAGAAAUUUAAUAUCUUUUUUAACUCAUUGGUGACCUAUAUUUUUUAUGCCCCACCUACGAUAGUAGAGGGGCAUUAUGUUUUCUGGUCUGUUCGUUCGUUCGACCGUCCGUUCGUCCGUCUGUCCCGCUUCAGGUUAAAGUUUUUGGUCAAGGUAGUUUAUGAUGAAGCUGAAGUCCAAUCAACUUCAAAACUUAGUACACAUGUUGCUUAUGAUAUGAUCUUUCUAAUUUUAAAGCCAAAUUAGACUUUUGACCCCAAUUUCACGGUCCACUGAACAUAGAAAAUGAAAGUGCGAGUUUCAGGUUAAAGUUUUUGGUCAUGGUAGUUUUUGAUGAAGUUGAAGUCCAAUCCACUUGAAAUUUAGAUCACAUGUUCCCUAUGGUAUGAUCUUUCUAAAUUUAAUUCCAAAUUAGAUUUUUUACCAAAUUUACAGUCCAUUGAACAUGGAAAAUGAUAGUGCGAGUGGGGCAUCAGUGUACUUUGGACACAUUCUUGUUUAUUAUCAUUUUCAAAUAAGCUGUACUUAAACUAAACUAUUAUAAAAAAAAUUAAGCGAUUUCUGCAUGUUCUGUAAUUUAGUUCUUUUUUUAUUUUCGAUAUUACCUCUAUUUCUCCUAUUACAUGUAUUAGUUCAACAGAAAAAAAAGUACCUUUACAAAAAUGUAUGUUUCUUUCGAAGGCAGAUUGAGAGCGUAAAUGAACGGUGACCCCAUUUUAAUUUUUUUUAUUUUUCUAUUAAGUAUAAGAUAAAGUUCAUUUAUAUAAAUAGAAAAAUAUAGCGAAAUCAUAUAUUAAGAAAAAAAUUUGAUUUAGACCCGCAAGCUGCCUUAAUUUAACAAAAAUAGUUCACUGUACAGCCUUUGACAAUGAGCAAACCCUAUACCGGACAGUGGUUUUAAUAACAGCACAACAUUUGAACAAAUUGUAAACAUUUGUUGCAAUGGGCUUAAUUCAAAAGACUGCAACACGGAACCAAACAACAACCAAUAAUAUGUAAAUCAUAGACACAAAGCACUGAAAUAAGAGUACUAACAAUGAAUAUUCAAAUGAAAGUUUAUUAUAAUGUUCAUAAACAUGAUAACAUAGCUAUUUUAUUGCUCUCUUCACUGAUAAUUUUUGAGUUUUGUGUAUUUGUAGGUCAGACAUCUCGGUUUUCAUGGUCAUCAUACAACAGAUCAAUACUGAACAGAAAACUUAAAGUUGAUAUUUUUCUUCAUAGUGCGACUUUUUUUUAUUAAUUUGAAAUGGAACGUGUUUUUUCCUACAUUUAUUAGAAAGGGGAAAUUUCAACAUAAUGACUAUAAACAAAUAGGAGUCAUAUCAUCACGAUCAUAGAUGCACAAGAACUUGAUCAUAUAAAUGCAACAAUGUAAUUAUCAAUUGAAAGAAGGAACGAAUGAACAAAAUAUUAGUAUGUUGUCCAAAUAAACUUGCUUUGUCUUCUCAUUUGAAUUGCUCCAUCCAAUAAAGAUGUACGAGGAAGAUCUUUGAAGAACAGAUUGAAAAAAUGUUUUGUCUAAGAAUUGCAGGAAUAUUCUGGUGGAUGAAAUAAUUUAUUGACUUGACUCUUAUAUAGUGGACUGAAUAAUUGUACAUAGCAAGUUGGGGGAAAAGAAAACAAAAACUUUAACAGAAAGUGUUUAUAUUAUAAAUUUGCAAAUAUAAGCAUACCAUUAUGUACACCUCAAAGGUAUAUAAUUCAAAUUGUUUGCAUAUUCAUGUAUUGCAAUGAAACUAUAACAAAGAAAACCUUACCUCGUGAAAAGAGUAAACAAUUCAGUCAGAAUAUGAAAUAUUUUUUUCAGUUCUAUUUUUCAUAGUAGAAUAAACAAGACAAAGAUUUCAAAACAAUAUUUUUUCAUUUAUU
rnacentral:lncRNA from 1 species